GGCAGCGCGGGAGCAAUCCUGGCGGCGAGUGGCGAACGGGUGAGUAAUACAUCGGAACGUGCCCAGAUCGUGGGGGAUAACGCAGCGAAAGCUGUGCUAAUACCGCAUACGAUCUACGGAUGAGAAGCAGGGGAUCGCAAGACCUUGCGCGAAUGGAGCGGCCGAUGGCAGAUUAGGUAGUUGGUGAGGUAAAGGCUCACCAAGCCUUCGAUCUGUAGCUGGUCUGAGAGGACGACCAGSCACACUGGGACUGAGACACGGCCCAGACUCCUACGGGAGGCAGGCAGUGGGGAAUUUUGGACAAUGGGCGAAAGCCUGAUCCAGCCAUGCCGCGUGCAGGAUGAAGGCCUUCGGGUUGUAAACUGCUUUUGUACGGAACGAAACGGUCUUUUCUAAUAAAGAAGGCUAAUGACGGUACCGUAAGAAUAAGCACCGGCUAACUACGUGCCAGCAGCCGCGGUAAUACGUAGGGUGCAAGCGUUAAUCGGAAUUACUGGGCGUAAAGCGUGCGCAGGCGGUUAUGUAAGACAGUUGUGAAAUCCCCGGGCUCAGACCUGGGAACUGCAUCUGUGACUGCAUAGCUAGAGUACGGUAGAGGGGGAUGGAAUUCCGCGUGUAGCAGUGAAAUGCGUAGAUAUGCGGAGGAACACCGAUGGCGAA
rnacentral:rRNA from 1 species